ensembl:misc_RNA Metazoa_SRP Metazoan signal recognition particle RNA
GCUGGGCAUGUUGGCACAUGUCUGUGGUCCCAACUACUUGGGAGGCUGAGGUGGGAGGAUCGCUUGAGCCCAGGAGUUCAAGGCUGCAGUGAGCUGUGACCAUGCCACUGCAUUCCAGCCUGGGUGACAGAGCAAGAUUCUGUCUCAA